rnacentral:tRNA from 1 species
UCCCUGAUGGUCCAGUGGUUGAGAUGUUGGCCUUCACCACUGUGGACCCAGGUUUAAUCCCUGGUCGGGGAA